UGAAGUAUUUUGAUAAAGAAUUCCUCCUAAUUCUUGAAUAGUCAAGUAUUGGAUGCAACAUUUCCUAUUACUAUCCUAGAGUUUCUUCAUCCAUUAUACUCAUUUGACCACUAAAUGAAAAAGAAAGUGCUAUUCACACACCUAUUUCACUUCCCAAGCACCCUUGUUAAUUUUUGCUCAUUGAUCUUCUACAAUUCAUUCAAUUCGACAGUCGAAAUUUGAAAGGGUGUGAGAAAUUAAAAUAAAUGUGUGAAUAACACUACUAAAUGAAAAUUAUUUUUAUGAUAAAAAAUUAAAAAUAAAAAAAUAAAAAUAUACUACGUGUUGUAGUUGCUUUUGACAGCAAUGCAUGCCAAAUGCGUGAAAGCAACGAAACCUUUUGGCCCAUAUAAUAUUUAAAUUUCUAAAAACCUAUUUAGAUUUCUUAUGUCACGUAUCUCCAACACGGUAGCAAUUCAAUCAACAAAUUGAUAAAUUAACAACUCGCUUUGUAUAUUUAUAAGGUCAGUUGUUACUCAAAUUAGCAAAUUGAAUCCUACUUUUUAAAAUAGCAUAAACACAUCAAACGGUUCAGCAAAUGAUACUUUUAAGGAAAAUUUUGAGAUCAACUUUUGGGUGCACCUUGUUUUCUUAUCAUGUGAUAUACGGUAAUAGUACGUUCUUAGCAUAAGACUUCAAUUUAACACAAGCGGAAUUGCAAGCAAGCUUCUCAUGAAUGCUCACGAGCUUUACAAAAUCAUGCCAGAAACCUCAAGCUCAGCUUCUCAAGGUACUUCAAGUCCAUUUGCGAAACUAUUCACAAGUCUUGUAAAAUGCAGUAGUUCUCAUAUAAUUUUCCUCUGCAAUUCUUCGGUUUCCAUUACCAGCGUCUUGGACUACCAUUCGAGUCUCAUGACACCCAAAUAACUAUAGAUAACAAUCUUUCAAGCAAGGAUUCCAACUUAAUAUUUCAUUUCAAUUCUUACUCAUUAGUACUACGGUCUAGUGGCAUUCCUCUUCGCUAGUAAGUGAGAGGUGCAAAUCUAUUCCGAAGGAAGCUCCUACAGGUAUACAGUUUGAUAGAAUCGCCUGAAUGACUUAACACCAAAUUUCAUAUGGCCAGAAACAAUGGAAGAAGAAAACCCUCGAAAAAAUGAGUAAACAUGGAAACAUUUGUGCAGACAAUCAAAUAAAUCUUAAAUUAAAACAAACAAUGCGGUGAUUUCCAUAAAAUCAAAGAAAUCUGAACACACAGGUCAAUUAUUGAUUCACAAAGAUCCAACAAAGAAACGAUGCAACUUCCAUAUCAAAGAAAGAUCAUGCCAGGAUAUCAUGUUAAAUUAUAGAGGACCUGGGAAAGUUCCGCCCGCCCUCUGCUCGUCCCACUUCUCAAU